rnacentral:rRNA from 1 species
AUUGAACGCUGGCGGCAGGCCUAACACAUGCAAGUCGAGCGGGGUUUUCGGACCUAGCGGCGGACGGGUGAGUAAUGCGUAGGAAGCUGCCCGAUAGAGGGGGAUACCAGUUGGAAACGACUGUUAAUACCGCAUAAUGUCUACGGACCAAAGUGUGGGACCUUCGGGCCACAUGCUAUCGGAUGCGCCUACGUGGGAUUAGCUAGUUGGUGGGGUAAUGGCUCACCAAGGCGACGACCCCUAGCUGGUUUGAGAGGAUGGUCAGCCACACUGGAACUGGGAGACGGCCGAGCCUCCUACGGGAGGGAGCAGUGGAGAAUAUUGGACAAUGGGCGCAAGCCUGAUACAGCCAUGCCGCGUGUGUGAAGAAGGCGUUCGGGUUGUAAAGCACUUUCAGUAGGGAGGAAGAGUUGAGUGUUAAUAGUACUCAGCUUUGACGUUACCUACAGAAGAAGCACCGGCUAACUCUGUGCCAGCCGCCGCCGUAAUAC